rnacentral:lncRNA from 1 species
CGGUGGAACAAAAGCAGAAGUUCAAUGUGAUAUUGACGGAAUUCGCUUUUAUGGCAUACUCGGGCUGCUACGAAUCGUUGGCUGAAAAGGGAAUUCUUCCCUCUAUUAUUAAACAAAUUUAUAAAACCUGGUCCCAAAAGGCCAGAUUAUUUCACGAGAAUAGAAUGAUGGGGACAAUUUUUAGGGAUUCGUAUAAAACCUUUUUUGACAGUUCCCACCAUGAUAGACUUUUA